AGUCACUGGUCAGGUGGGGUCAAGCCAGGACAGUGCUGGAGAGAUCUGUCCCGAGCUCACUCGAGUGUCUUUCUCAUGGCACUGGGGCAAGCAUGAUCUGCACAGCCUGGCACAGAAACAGCACUUGCCCGGAAGAUACUUCCCCGUAUUUCAAGAUCAAAGAAAGUAGGACGCAGAAAAGAAAAGAAGCAAGGGAGAAAACCAACCAUCAGGGCUCCCAGAUAUCAAGGAGCUGAAACUCACCAGAUCACUGCAUUUGGACAAGGAGACACCAGACCCUUCACCCAUCAUGGCUGCCUCAGUGACCACCAGCUUCCUGUUGACCAACUCCUCUUCCUUAUACCUUCCUAAUUCCUGUUUACCGGCAUGUAGUUACAUUGCCUUCCCACUAUAUCAGCCCCCAGUUUUAGUUGGUCAGGGAGAUGGAUUUGAGACUGAGCUCCCAUCUCCAUGGCUGCAGUACCCGAUUAAAGCCUUCUUCCCUGGCAA